AGCCAUGCGUCCUCCGAAACACGACCCCACCAACCUGCACUGCUUCUUGACACACUGCUCGCUUGAACCAGAAGCCACCCACACCACUGGUGACCGUGUCCGCGUGCAUGUGCCCGGCCCGCCACAAGAAGUCUCUAGAGCGCGAUGGGACAAAGACAGCCAGCCGGCCAAACCCUCCUCUAACCCGGACAACGCUGGGCCAAUUGUGCGCCGCCUCAUGGGUCUCCCGUCAUGGCCGGCUGUGACCCAGGGUUGAUGCAGCUUGUUGGCCAGUCAGCGUUUCGAGUUCAAAUCACUGGAAUGCAUCCAAUUGGUAUUUACGACUUCACAACUGGGACAUCUAGAGGCAUGUCAUUGCAUUAACAAGAAUCCCCCUGUCCCAUCUGCUCCUGCUACACCCCCUAGUGGACAUCUGGAGUCUCAUUGACCUGCAGCCAUUCCCCCAGUUCUCUCCCUCUUCUUCGCUCUCUCUGUGUGCGAUUGUGUGGUUGGAGACCUGUGUGCUGGAGUCAAAGCAGUUCCCCACCACCUGCAACCCGUUCCAUAAUCAAGACCUCUAUAAAUACUCAGUCCUGCCACUGCCACUCUGCCAGAUCGUAAUCGCCGUUCAGUCAGUCAUGCUUCUAGCAAUUUGUUGUUAUUUAAUAUCCUGCUGUGCCUAUUUCCUUGCGUGACACUGUUUCUCCUCUCGCUGCUGUUUUGCCAUUCUGGUUCCUGUCUCCUGUUACACAUCUCACUACCCUGUUCAGUACUCAACACGCCACCACUCCCUUGGAUUCCCCUACAGACCUGUUUACCCUGUCCCAACCCAGCUCACUCCAACCUCAGCCUCCACAUCUGGUUUGCUACAACUCAUCCAAGCCUCCCUGGAUCUGCAACUCAGCUCUCCAUGUGUUACAAUAAAUAUCUUGGU